rnacentral:rRNA from 1 species
AUACGGAGGGUCCAAGCGUUAUCCGGAAUCAUUGGGUUUAAAGGGUUCGUAGGCGGGUCAAUAAGUCAGAGGUGAAAUCUUGCAGCUUAACUGUAAAAUUGCCUUUGAAACUGUUGACCUUGAAUUACUGUGAAGUGGUUAGAAUAUGUAGUGUAGCGGUGAAAUGCUUAGAGAUUACAUAGAAUACCGAUUGCGAAGGCAGAUCACUAACAGUAUAUUGACGCUGAUGAACGAAAGCGUGGGUAGCGAACGGGAUUAGAAACCCUGGUAGUCC